AAAAUUAACUAAAUAACUCAUUUUCACUUUCUCUCUCCAGAAUUUUACUUUCUUGAGCUGCAUUUCUUCGACAUUUUCGUCUUCUGCUUGUUGUUUGAGCUGCUCUCCCUCCAAAAUCGCAAACCAUAACCGUUCAACCUCCCUCCCUCUCUUCCCAAACAAAAAUUUCUCUGUCGUCCUCUAACCUGGCGUUUCUUCUGUUCUUCACUCCAAACUCUUUGCUUCAAGUUUCUGCUUCAAAAUGCGGAGUCGGUGAAGAGGGCGAAACAUUGGCCGUUUCACAUCUAGAUUACCAAAUGCUCCAGAUAUGGAGAUAUUUUCUUUAUAUGGAGUUGGAAUUCCUACUGAGAGAGCCUAUAUUUACAAGCUGAGCGCAACAACAGAUUGUUACAUUCCUUUUCAGAUUGAUAACAUGGCAGGCAGUUCAAGAUGAGUGCUCUUGUCUCAAAGGAGGUAGCUGAGUAUGAUCAUGCUCCUCCUGCUAAUCUCUUGGAGGGUAGAGGCACCAAAAGUGGCGCGCAUGUUAAUAUAAUGGGAAACUUUGUGUUGAUCGAGGACGUUAUUAGGGUAGCAGCAGAUGCUAGAGGAGAGGAUUUAGGAGGAAAUUGUGUAUAUUCUGAUAUUUUUGAAUGGUCUGAAAGGAUUGACUUGAAGCUAUAGCCAACAAGGAUAUAUAAGACCUUUUUUGGGAGAUUUAAUUGCAGUUAGAUGGUAGAUAUCCGACCUGCAAAAGAAAUGUCCUCCGAACGGCUCUUGAAGGUGAUAAGGCUGAAGACAUGUGAUGGUCGUUACCUAACGGCUCUGAAGACCAAGAAUCGCUUUCCAUACAUAAGCCAGCUGAUACAAAUGUACCUGUUACAGGAAAAAAUACUCAAGAGCAAGCAUCUGUGGAACGAUUCUCACUGUUCGGCGUGGCUGGUUUGUGGUGUAGGUGAACCAAGAGCCAUGGAAUGUGCCAGAUGGUGCUGGGGAUUGGUACCUCAAAAUUACAAAUCAAAGCAGCAGCAACAACAUCAGAGAGUUUCGGGCUAAGCUCAUACCUGUUAAAGAAAGUGGAUACUCCCUUUAGGCUACUGAUUAUGGAGGCUGAAAAUAUAGAUUUCAUAUAGUGAUAUACAGAGUAUAUAUCUAACAUUUGCUUAUAAGAUCAAUCAUAUUUUAUUCGAUUAAUAUCAUAGUUUUUUUUU